CUCACUCUAUCACAGCAGGAUUAAACACAUCUACUUCAAACUUCUAAAGGCUCUCACGACAGCCUCGACCGUUCAGUUGUAUCUGGCUUUCUAUCAGAAGAACAGAACUCACUUCAGCAGACCAGUUCAUAUCAGAUCCUUUAAAGAUCAGUGGUUACUAUGAGAGAGAUUGGUUUCUGCAGAGCUGACCUGAUCUGGGAGCUCAAGAGGAUUUCCCCCCAAAUUUACUGUGGGAAACUGGUCAAGCUCCUGGAGGUAAAUCUUACAAUAUUGUUGGGGUCCCCGUAUGACUGGGUGCCCCUGGAGUUUUUAACUCUCAGAUUUUUUCUCACUCAGCCUCCAGCAAUUCAUUAGUUACAGAUCAGGUAAUUUUCCUACCCAGACGUACUCCUGAGUCCCUGUUCUGGUAAGCAGCAGCUCCCUGUGUUUGCAUGUCUCUCUCUUCAACCUUGGGGGCAGUGAUUAGCCCUGUGUCCUCCCUGCUCUUAAGGAUCCAAGAAGAAUUGUUGAUUUUUCAGUCUGUUCGGCUUUUUACUUGUUGUUAGGACACAGCGGCAACUUUCAGGCACCUUAUAUGCGGAACCAGCUGUACAUCUUAUUAAAUGCCAGUGUCACCGAGAGAGCUUUUUAUUGAAGGCGGAGGAAUUUAAAAUAUACCAAGAGACUCCAGCUACCCAAUGAGUUCUAAUUAUUAAUAUUUCUCUCCAUCUAGGAGGAUUGGAGCAAGUGUGAAGUGCUUGGUGAGAGUGAAGGAUGGGCUGGGGUCUAAGAGAAAGUCUUGCUACAGUCACUAGGCUGCCCAAACAGGGGCUGGCCUUCCUUAAAACUCUACAAUCCUUCUUAGAAAGGCAACAGUCACAAUGAAAGGAUCUAACUUGGCUCAGGCUUCAUCCUCUAUGAGGCAGUAUCAGUAAAGUGGGUGUAUUGCUGGUCAGUAAAGCUGUUCAGAGGAUUUGCUCUGUGUAUGUAACAUGUUAUUUUUUUUCUCCAUAAAUCCCAAGUAGGUAUCAAGUGUCAGUUCUUUCUGUCAGUUCUAACUCACUGUUACUUUUUUGAAUAGGAAGAGAUAGCAUAUGAUGUGUCCUAUAUAUUGAGAAUGUUUAAGGUAACAGGCUAUUCUAUUGUAGGGAAAAAGUCAAAACCACAUUAUAUUUAUAUUUUUAAGUAAAAAUCAGCCAAAGAAAUAAUACAAUAUUUUAGGUUGUUGAUGAUAUCAUAGUGUCUCUUUUUUUUUUUUUUUAAUGUCUGCUGAAGUCCAGUAAAGGAUCUACAAACCUGUGUUGAGAGAGCUGUGUUCUUGUAGAGAACAGAAGAGAUAGAGUCUGAUAAAACGCGCGUGUGCCUCCUAGUAUAAUAGAGGUGCCUUCUGAUUUUGCAGUAUCUCUAGUCAAUGAAACCACAAGGCACAUGGGAGGAAGAGCAGUUUCUAGAAGCAGACCAUGAGUUCCGCUUUGGACAUGUUGCACCAAAUAUGACUGUGGAUGCUUUCAGAGUGAAGACACAUAAUCCCUUUGAGAAUGGAAGACUCAGAAUAGAGAGUUUGAGACACACCUUCUGAAACUGCAGCCUCUUGAGAGACUGAUUCCCAGCAAAGAGUGUUGCUGCUCUGCGUUUCACACUGGAACACAGUGUAGACGACUAACGUUAAUUAGGAUUACAGGGCCAGGGAGGCUUACCACGCUGUGACAGCUCACGAGAAAGAGAAUGCUGCUGCUUCUUUUGGGUGCAAUUCUGAGUGUCAUGUAUGUAUGUAUUAAUCCUUGGGCUCAAGCCAAGUUACAUUGAGGUGAGAUGCAAUCUAUUAUUUUUAGGUCAUAUUGGGUAGGGGCGGAGGCUAUUAUUUUAGGUUGGUGAGAAGGUAGGUUGGGUUAAUUUCAGAUGAUCAAGUUUCCUGUUAUGAGCCUUCCUUCAAAAACUAAUUUUGGAAUGUUAUCAUUUAUAGUUCACGCUUAUGGAGAACUUAAUGUUGGAAGCAUUCCUUAGAUCAAGGGGAUUUCACGCCUGGGUAAUUUUCAAGUUUUAUUGUUUUCCAGCUUACUUGCCUGACUUAGAAUUCCUACUGCUUCUUAAAUUUCACAAAUAAAUGCCUUAAAGAAAAAAGCUUACACACUAAAAACAAACCAGUACUUAACUCCUUCUUCCAAAACCCCACUGUCCUGAGGGAGAUAUACAUAAAGUAAGAAAUAAAGUGGCAAGUUUCCUGUUUCAUGAAUGCCUUGAAUUCUAAUUAUUUCUUAAAGACAGAUUGAAAACAAAGGUUUUUAUGAAUAAUGAUCAUUAAGAUUGUAAUCUCUAAACGCUGGCAUGUAAGUCUCUGAUUUACCAUAUAAGUUCACACUGAUUACCCAAGAUGAUUUCCAGAUGUUUACUCUCUGCAUGUAAUUAAAUUUUGCUAAAAAUUAUAACUGGCUCAGUUGCUUUAAAAAAAGAACUGUCAACAGAAACAUGAAAGAAGUUUUCACUGAGAUAUUUUUCCCUUCACGGUAGUCACUCCUCUCAUGACAGAAAUCUCCUUCCUCAAAAAUCUCUGGCUCACUUAAACCCACUCCUGAUUUUAACCGGAGAAGAGAAAGUUGCUCUAAGACAUGUGACGGAUUGAUCACUUCAAGUCCAUCAUUUGGGAGGAAACUGCCACAGAAUUUGUAUGACAGCAUAGAAAAUUGGCACAAGUAAAUUAUUGAGUCUGUAUUCACAGGCGUAAAAGGGAAUAGAAAUAUAUGACAAUGGGCAGUAAAAUUAAAACUUCAGGGAGAAUCAAAGUAUCAUGGAAAAACAGGUAAGAGCAUUGUCUGUUUAUGUACUGGGAACUGAAAUGAUAAGUUUGGGAAAACCUGUGCAAUGUAUCAGCUAGAAUGUGGGUAUAAUGCACAACAGCAAAUGAAGAGACAGAUGCCACGUGAUGGAAAAGGAACGAAAGUCAGGCAAGAAAAUAGUUCAAAGAUGCAUAUCAGGUAGAAAUCAUUUAAAUAUAUUAGAAAGAAGGAGAUGGUAAACUAAUCAAAUGCAGAGGAAUGAAGCUGAGGGGAAACACAGAGAGAAGAAGAAGGAGGCCAAAUAAUUUGACAAGAGAGGAAGGAUGAAAAGAUAGAAUGAGAGCAACCAUCAGGCAAUGGUUCUUAAUGACCUGUUUCUCAUGAAAAAUGCAUUAUCCUGGAAGGGAAUGAUUUUUCUCCUCCCUCACACUACUUUGAUUUGUGUGUCUACAACACACCGAGCCCACUGGGAGGCAGCCGAUGGAUUCAGAGCCUCCAGAAUGAUCAACAGGAGACUGCCAUUCCAGACACCAAAUGCAGUGUAAAUAAUUACAUAUCAAUGCAAGUCCACUAACGUGGAUGGGGUGUGUACUCUCAGGAUGAAGCAGGCAUCUGCACCGUGACAGAAGUCCGGGGUCUUGACAGAAAUGCAAAACCCCAAAUGAAACACAGUGAUCCAGGGGGAGGAAGACUCAAAAAGGGUAAAUGUAACUUGACCCAGAAGUUCUUAAUCUUGUUCUGAAUAACAGACUUUGCAUAUUUGAUGAAAGUCUCAGGCUUUUACCCCAGAAAACACACAUUUGUGUGUACAAACAAAAUUGUGUUUAUGUCAAAAGGUUUAUAGAUCUCCUGAAGUCUGUGCUCCCCCUACUUUAAGAUCUUAGAGUUCUGAAAUUUUAAUAGAGAACAACGUUUAAUAGGCCACUAUUUAAACUACCUACUGAUUCACUUCAGUUACAACCUUAGGAAUUACUGUAAUUACUGAAUUUAACUAAAGAGUGAGGCACAGAUGUUGUCCCUCUGGGAAAUCUUUAUUCAAACAUGAUUUCUUCAAUUUUCCAGCAGGGCUGGAUUUUUUGUUUAUGUAUUAUUUAUACGUUGCUGUGUUCUAGAAAAAAAUUUUGACUUGUGAAAUGCAUAUAAUACAAAAUAAAAAAAUAAGUACUUGGAGGAAUCGGGUGAAAUAAAAACAUGAGUAAAAAGCCCACAAAAUUCAGAGACAAAAAUUAGCAGAGUAUAUGUCAUGGUAGAUGUUAGUUACAAUUUUGUAACUUUCUGGUAGCCAAAGCUAAGACAAAAACAGGCUUAAUUACAAGACUUAUAACAUUUGAUAAAACAAAAACUAAUUAUCUAUUAGGCUGCAAAUAACAGAAAACACAGCUAAUAAUGCUUUACAUGAAUCAGGGGCUAUUUUUCUCACUAACAGGAAGUCCAGAGGUGGACACUUGUUCAGUCAUGUUAUCAGAGACCCGGGCUUUUUCUAUCUGUCUUCCCUACUGUCCUUAGGGUGUUGAUUUUUAUCACUCUGUAGCCUCACUGCCUCAAGUGGGCUGCUACAACUCCAGACAUCACAUCCAUGACCAAGGUAGAGAGAAGAGGUAAGGACAGGCUAGAGAUCUCUCCUCCCACAUGUAUUUUUCAUCAGGAAAGUAAUUGCCACCCCUUCCUUUUGCCAAUUGCCAUUGCUUCCUUGCAGACUUCCUUCUAUGUUUCAUGGCCACAACUGGAUCAUAUGAAUUCCCCCCACUACAAGAAAGACUGGAAAAGUGAGCAUCUGACUUUUUGGCCUUUACAGAGAAAGGAGGGCAAGCAAGGGCCUUGGGAAUGGCUUUGGGUUAGUGUCUUCUACAGACAAUAUGAACAGAUUUUCCUGAUGUAGAGCAGCCUCACUUCUGGCUGUCCUCAAAAGGAGGAUACUGUGUGAUUCCUCAGAUUAUGCCCUAAACAUCAAUCCAUGCAGAAAAUGCAGCAGCAAGUACUAUCAUGUUCCAUGAGACUUCAUGUUUCUCUCUAUAGGCUGAUGGCUUGGGCUAAGGCACAAAUUUAGAAAAGGGAGGUCUACAAGGAGUCAAAACUCAAGUUCACAGCCCUGUUAUGAUCUCAAGGGCAACAUUUAGCCUAGCUAGUGUAAUGUAUGGGCAGCAAUGGCCUUGUACCACUCCUUUGUAAAUAUUAUUUCUCACAACUGGACUUUGAAUUAGAAUGAGACCACAGGGAGUUAAAGGUUGUAAUCUCCAGCACAAACCUACCUGGAACAUAAAAGCCUACAUCGCUGAUAAGAGCAGACAUAGAUGCUUUAACAACCUGCUAGUGAGAGGAGAGGAUUAAGUGCUCCUUCUACAAAUUCAGAAGCAUAACCAACACGUAUGCCUGGUGGAUAAAUGUUCUCUGACUGGUGAAGAUGAGUCCCAAGAAGAAGAGGUAAUCAUUCUUUCCACUCUAUUCCCUUAGCGCGCAUCUCCAUCUCCAUGAUAGCAUGUGUAGUCCAGAUUUAUGUAGCUCUAAUACUGGUUAUAAACCUACUCAUUUUGUAGCCCAAGACCAUGCUAUUUUUCAUAUAAUAGACAGGUAUGUUCUCAGAAAUAUCUAGAAAAAGUAUUCUUUUAUUGAACAGCGGGUAGAGGUUGCUUAGAUAAUAUCUGGAGAGACAACUUUGCACAAAGAAAUCAAUGACAACUUCCUUCAUGCUCUUUUUAGUAGUGAUGGCUUGAAAUAAGCAUUAUUUGAAUUCUUAUUGCUUAAAGACUGGAAUACUAGAUGCAGUGGGUUAGACACUAGAGGAUAAAAGUUCAAGGGAAGGAAGAUGUAUUUUCCCUUGAAGAACCUGUGAACUAGUUGUGGGGAUGGGCAUAUUGUAUCUGAGAAAGGAAACCAAAACAUUUACAAACGCUGUUGUUUUAAUAAAGGGUAAAUUCGACGUAGGGCAGAAAAAAGGUACAAUUAAAUUAUAAUGCUUUUGUGUCUAAUUCCAUGUCUAAGGUCUUUUGUUUGAUAAAAAUGAUUAAGGCCUAUGACUUGUUUUAUAAUUAGAGGUGUUUCAUAAAUAAAAAGAGUUGGUGAAUAGAGUUACCUGACGUGGAAUUUUAAAAUAUACUGGUGAAAUAUAUUCUUCAUCA